GGUUGUGGCUCAGCGGUAGAGCACUUGCUUAGCACGUGUGAGGCCCUGUGUUCUAUCCUUAGCACCA
rnacentral:tRNA from 1 species